ACCUACAGUGAUGACACGGGGCUCCAUUGUGGGCGGAACUGUGGUGCCCCAGGGUUCCAAUGCCUGGCGCUACUCUGUGUCCGCAGGCUCUUGGAGGCACCCGUGCUCCGGAUCUGGCUCAGUGCCCGACCAGCCCACUCUCACCAGUACCUCAGUGUAUAAAGUGUAGGCACUCACAAGGUGACAGUUCACAGGUGACUGGGAGCUGCUCCUGGCCCCCCCUCUGGCCACUGUAGGUCCUGUGGGUCUUGCUGCAGGUGUUGGCCUCCUGGGCUGGGGUGAGAACACACCGACCCCCAUGUCAUGCCCAUGAGGCAGGUCCUGGAGCCCUUCCACAACUCCGCAGGGUGAGGGCUGCCUCCCUGCUGCCCCAGGCCAGGGAAGGAGCCUGUGUUCAGGGCUCGGGCGGCUCAUCCUGGACCCCCGCUCCCCUCAAGCCCUGUUCUGUGCAGGAGGCAACAGGUCAAGCCAUGACCUUUCCAGUCCGUCUUAGGUGCAUGGACCCCAACAUGUGAUGACCAAUCCCCCCACGCUGUGGUCCGGGGUGUAUGGUCAGGGCUCUCUUGGUCCUUCUGGCUCAUGAGCAGGCUUGAUCUUCACAAACUGGAACAUGGAGUCCCUCGUGCUCCCGCAUAACCCUCCUCAAGCUAUUCACAAAUCAUUGCAUUCAAGGUGGGUAGUUUGGUCACACAUUUGCUGGCAUAAGUUUUUAAUUUUGAUGAAGUCCAGUUCAUUGCUUUUUCCCUUUGGUCUUUCUGCUUGUGGAAUCUAAGAGAAACCUUCGGUCUGCCCCAAGUCCGCAGGAACACUCUCUGGCAGGCACAUCCACCGCCAUCUCGGGGCCAGCCCUGGGCUGGGAAACAUCACCCCAAGGAUCAGUCAGACAGAUGGGGACCUGCCCACAGGGAGCACACAGACGCAUGUGUCCUCUGAAGGUUUUCAUGCGGUGUCAUCCUUGGAUGUGUGUGGUUUGCAGCACCAGGCAGGAGGACCUGGAGACCCUGCUGGCCUUGGAAAGGGCUGAUAUCAGAGCCGAAUACCAUCAGAUCAGCUGAAGCCCAGACAAAUACCAUAGACACUAGAGCACCCACUAGAUGUGGGGACCACAUCUGCAAGAACAGGCACGCCGGGUAUGGUCUCCAUAGGACCCUUGGGAUGAUGCUGUCCCGUCACUGUGGAAGGUCACGGACAAUCAGAGUUUUCUGCAUUGAGUUCCCUGGACACCCCUUCAUCCAUCUCAGGAGGCGUUGCAAAACGCCUCUCUUGAGGCUGGCACAUCCCCCCAGAUCAGGACCUCUUCCCCUUGGGCCCUCUGAGGGCCAUGUCUGCCCUAGGCUAGAGCUGAGAGACCCAAGAGAAAAACCCUGGAAGUGGGUAGGAAGGGAUCUGGGCCUGGGGUACGGCCCCUGGGCACCCAGAGGAGGGGCCUCCAUGCCUGCUUUGUGGAGGACAAGGUGUCUGACACCUGCAUCGGGGUGGGUGGUCAGGGCGUGGGGGAGGAGGCCCUUGCCAGGAUGGCCCCCCUGCCUGCCUGUUGCAGGAGGAGACCCUGAUCUUUGGGGAUCUGGGGCCUUCUCAGGCUUCUUGAUUCCAGGGUUCACCAAAUUGCUUAGGUCCUAGGCGAGCACGUUCUAGACAGAGCUCACCCCAAGCUGAAGAAGCACAUGGCGAGUAGAUGCUCCCCAGGGGCUCCGACCCCUUGGCCCCAGGGCAGGGGUUGCCAGCACAGCCUUUCUGAACUGCCCCAAUUUGGUGUCAAGUUCCUCCUCCUGGGGAGCCUGGGGCACCAUUGAGGCUGUGCGGGGCUAUUGGAACUGUGUCCACCUGGCUCACGGGGCCGCAGCGUGGGGCCUGAGCACCUCCUGCCCUUCUGCCAGGGCGAGGAACUGACGUGCACUGGCAUUUACAUCCUAAGUGGUUCCUUCAGUGUUUCAUCUGUUAGGUAAGAGAACCCGAGGAACCCUGCUGCCUCAUUCUGUCCCCUGACUCCAGGGAAGGCCGAGUUCAACCCUACUCUCCAGACAAUCCAGUCCAGACCUUGGGCCCGAAGGCUGAGGCUGGCAGCCCAGAGCCACCUAGAGAAGCCCAGAGUGUCCCUGGAGGAGUUUUGAGGGAACGGGCUGUCUCUGCCUCAGCUCCCCCAGGGAGGCCUGGUCAGCCUGGGGUGUGGAUGAGCCCUCGGCCCAUUCUGCAGUUAGCCUGGGGUCCUCUUGUGGCCUAUUGGCAGAAAUGGGGGCAGAGUCUGUGCCCCCAUGUCUGUGGGUAGUGCUGGCCAGGAUUAGAACCCAGAGUGACCUGGUGCCCUGAUCUCCCUGGGAGGAGUGCAUGCACAGGAGGGGCUGUGGUGUCUCCUCGGAUGUAGCCCGGCAGGGUGGCAGAGGCUAUGGGCAGAUGGGAGACCCCAAGGGGCUCUGCUCAGGCCGCUCCUCUCAACCCCCGCUCCCCAAAACCCCUUAUCCCUACCCUGAAGCACUGGGACGCGUAUAUCCUGGACAUGGAGCCUGUGCUCACAGCCAUGGCUUACAUGAUCCUCAAAGUGCACAGGAGUAAGUGGGCCCCUGGGUGCCCAGGUGUGCCCGAGGCUGGGGGUGAGGGGACAGGGGUGUUGACCCCCUGCUCUGAGCAGCACCCAGGCCUGGGGACGGGGGGACGGCUGAGCAGGCGAGUAGAUCAGGACUCCCUGAAUGAGCAGCAGGCAGGGCCCUCCCUCGGUCAUAGCACUGCCCACGGUGAUCCUGCACAGCUGGAUCCUCAGCUGCUACCCUUGGGAGGCACCUGGAGGCCACAGAGCAGGGAGCCUCUGGGUCUCACUCACACCCACUGCCCAGAGAGCCUCCUGAAGCUGCCCCUGGAAGGUCCUCAGGAGUUUCUGCAGGACGUGAUGGUCCAGCCCUGGGCCCUGGAGGAUGAGGUGGUGCUCAGACAACUUUGGGCCUCCACGACCCAGCUCCGAAAGAUGAAGUGUGACCUGCCCCCACCCAGGUGUACCUAGGUCCCCAUCCCCUCCCGAUUCUGCUUGCUGGGGCUGCUCACGUGGAUAGGGCCCCUGGGUUUUCCUCCUCAUCUCUGGCCCAGACCUUCGGUCUGCCCCAAGCCCGCAGGAACACUCUCUGGCAGACACAUCCCCGCCAUCUCGGGGCCAGCCCUGGGCUGGGAAAUGUCACUCCAAGCAUCAGGUCAGCAGUUCCCUGCAGCCUCUUUCCAACAGGAACUGGAGAGUUACCUCAGGAGGCCCCUGGGCCUGGAGUGAGUGUCCCGGCAAUUGAGCCUCUCCUCCCUUCUAUUACCAAGACGCUGCCCAGAGUGGACGAGCAGGCUUCCCCAGGCCCAGCCACACAACCUGAGCAGUCUGGACCCCCUCCUGGCAGGGCCAUCCUCAAGGCCAAGGAGCUGCUGCAGGAGGGAAGCUCCCCAGAGCCCACAGCUGUACACCUGUGUCUGGGGCUCUGCUUCUGUCUCAGCUGCCCCCAGCCCAGGACACCUCACUGGCCCGGAGGCCCCGUAGCGAUAAUACCCCCCUCCUCAUGCUCCCAGAGAACCAGUACAGUGCAGGCAGGUGGCACCCAAACAAGGACCUGAAGCCAGAACACUGGGUCCCAUUCAUUUUGGCACCUGCCUGGGCCACACCACAGGCCACACAGCAAACCAGACAAUAGAAUCCCCCUUGGACGCCCCUCACAGGGUCCACCCAGCCCACUAAGAUGACACUAUAGGGAUCCAGAUACCCUUCCUGUCCUGUGGCCACAGCAGCUCAAGUCCCUCACUGGGCAGUGAUAGGCAGGGCCAGCCCAUGCCAGGACAGCGCUGAACCACCUGACCUCUGCCUCCAUGCUCCUGGGCCUCUGGAGGAGCGAAAUGGUGAGGAUGGGGGUCCUGAGGCCAUGGCCAGCUGACACCAUGCCCUGCCUCAUCUCAUUGUCCUUCCUGGAGGGCGCCCCCUCAAUAGGAAGAGUCCCCGACCCAGAGGGACCUGAGCUGGCCUCUCCCUAGGCUCUGGGAGAGAGGGUCGACAUGAGCCCCAAAAGGGACAGAAUGAAGACUGAUGAGAUUGAGACCCCUGUGGCCCUGACCAGUUCUGGAUUCUGCCCCAAGUCUCAGUGACCCACUCAGAGCAGGAUGUGGGACCUGUUGUGCCCCACAAAUCCAGGUCGCUGACCUAGGACAGCAUUGGGAAUAACAGGGCACCCAGGGCAGGGGCAGGAGGGGCAGGCUGCUGGGCCAUACCCUCAUCCACAGUAGGAGGCAGACUCACCCACAUGCUGGGUCUCCAGCAGUCAGUCCCCUGGCACGUGAGCCAGAAACUAGGGUCCAGAUGACCUGCUGGGAUCCAGCGCAAGAACCCUGAAGUUGCAGGUCCAGGUCUGGUCCGCUGUCCUCAGAACUGCCUCUCAGGCCCCAACCUCAGGACACGUGCCCCCAUUCGGGGUCAGCACAGCUUUCAAGCUGGGGGACUCUGGCACCAACACCCCCAUGUGACUUUGGCUUUCUCCUAAAAGAAAGGAAGGUCCCCCUCGAGGGGAAGGCGUGCACCCUCGGCCCUGAGCUCCUGUUUGCUGUUGAAAGUUCAAUAAAGUGUGGUUGUG